UUGCCCAAUAGCCCUGGUAUUCUAAGUAAACUUAGGCUCAGUAUUAUUCGUUACACUGCUAUAUUGAAUCUAACAAACCCAAGUAGAAGGUCACCUCAGCUAACCUGAACCAAUCAGAACACAGCUUACCAAAUCGCGAAACUUAACAUUCGCAGAUACCAUUUGAACCUUUACCUCAAAAACUCGAACGAUUCCGAAUACUAUUUUCAGCACGAUCGCUUCCAAGUGAUACACAUGGAGGACGCAAUGAGUAAUCAGUCACAGAAAAUAGCGGUUUUUGUCAAUAUUCCAGGAUGUCAUCUUGCGGAAAUAUAAGCUAAUAGUAACCAUGUCA